ACAUCUCAACCCUCUAAUGUUUUUGCAUUGAAGGCGUUGGUAGUGAGCGCUGCCGGUCUUUGGGUCGGCUCGCUUUAAAAUAAUUAGCUGGAUCCAUUCUGACCUGGUUCUACUCGGCGUAAUAAGUUAUUAUCGUCGAGGACGCCUAGCCUUCUGGGCAGGCGGCCACAGUAAGGGUGUUUGAACCGCUUCCAACACGUCUUGCUCUUGUAGCAAACACUUGAAC
rnacentral:misc_RNA from 1 species